UAUAUAUAAGUGUUUAAGAUUGCACAUAAUGUUUUGAAUAUUAAAGGAAUAAUUAAUAUAUAUAU
rnacentral:tRNA from 1 species